rnacentral:rRNA from 1 species
CUUUUGACCUCGGAUCAGGUAGGGAUACCCGCUGAACUUAAGCAUAUCAAUAAGCGGAGGAAAAGAAACCAACAGGGAUUGCCCUAGUAACGGCGAGUGAAGCGGCAACAGCUCAAAUUUGAAAUCUGGCUCUUUCAGAGUCCGAGUUGUAAUUUGCAGAGGGCGCUUUGGCGUUGGCAGCGGUCCAAGUUCUUUGGAACAGGACGUCACAGAGGGUGAGAAUCCCGUACGUGGUCGCUAGCCUUCGCCGUGUAAAGCCCCUUCGACGAGUCGAGUUGUUUGGGAAUGCAGCUCUAAAUGGGAGGUAAAUUUCUUCUAAAGCUAAAUACUGGCCAGAGACCGAUAGCGCACAAGUAGAGUGAUCGAAAGAUGAAAAGCACUUUGGAAAGAGAGUCAAAUAGCACGUGAAAUUGUUGAAAGGGAAGCGCUUGCAGCCAGACUUGCCUGUAGUUGCUUAUCCGGACUUUUGUCCGGUGCACUCUUCUGCGGGCAGGCCAGCAUCAGUUUGGGCGGUUGGAUAAAGGUCUCUGUCAUGUACCUCCUUUCGGGGAGGCCUUAUAGGGGAGACGACAUGCAACCAGCCUGGACUGAGGUCCGCGCAUCUGCUAGGAUGCUGGCGUAAUGGCUGUAAGCGGCCCGUCUUGAAACACGGACCAAGGAGUCUAACAUCUAUGCGAGUGUUUGGGUGUCAAGCCCAGACGCGUAAUGAAAGUGAACGGAGGUGGGAACCCUUUGGGUGCACCAUCGACCGAUCCUGAUGUCUUCGGAUGGAUUUGAGUAAGAGCAUGGCUGUUGGGACCCGAAAGAUGGUGAACUAUGCUUGAAUAGGGUGAAGCCAGAGGAAACUCUGGUGGAGGCUCGCAGCGGUUCUGACGUGCAAAUCGAUCGUCAAAUUUGGGCAUAGGGGCGAAAGACUAAUCGAACUAUCUAGUAGCUGGUUCCUGCCGAAGUUUCCCUCAGGAUAGCAGUAACGUAUUCAGUUUAUGAGGUGAAGCGAAUGAUUA